rnacentral:rRNA from 1 species
AUUGAACGCUGGCGGCAUGCCUUACACAUGCAAGUCGAACGGUAACAGGUCUUCGGAUGCUGACGAGUGGCGAACGGGUGAGUAAUACAUCGGAACGUGCCCGAUCGUGGGGGAUAACGGAGCGAAAGCUUUGCUAAUACCGCAUACGAUCUACGGAUGAAAGCAGGGGACCGCAAGGCCUUGCGCGGACGGAGCGGCCGGUGGGAGAUUAGGUAGUUGGGGGGAUAAAAGCUUACCAAGACGACGAUCUGUAGCUGGUCGGAGAGGACGACCAGCCACACUGGGACUGAGACACGGCCCAGACUCCUACGGGAGGCAGCAGUGGGGAAUUUUGGACAAUGGGCGAAAGCCUGAUCCAGCCAUGCCGCGUGCAGGAUGAAGGCCUUCGGGUUGUAAACUGCUUUUGUACGGAACGAAAAGACUCUUUCUAAUAAAGAGGGUCCAUGACGGUACCGUAAGAAUAAGCACCGGCUAACUACGUGCCAGCCGCCGCCGUAA